rnacentral:tRNA from 1 species
GCCUCUAUCGUCUAAUGGUUCAGGACGUUAGAAUCUCAAUCUAAAAAUUACAGUUCGAGUCUGUAUAGAGGCA